rnacentral:rRNA from 1 species
UACAGAGGGUGCGAGCGUUAAUCGGAAUUACUGGGCGUAAAGGGCGCGUAGGCGGUUAGAUAAGUUAGGUGUGAAAUUCCUGGGCUUAACCUGGGAACUGCAGCUAAAACUGUGUAACUGGAGUGCUGUAGAGGGUAGUGGAAUUUCCGGUGUAGCGGUGAAAUGCGUAGAUAUCGGAAGGAACACCAGUGGCGAAGGCGGCUACCUGGACAGACACUGACGCUGAGGCGCGAAAGCGUGGGGAGCAAACAGG